rnacentral:lncRNA from 1 species
CUUCAAAAAACAUAAAUAUAAAUUGUAUUCAAAUAUGCAUAUUACACAAAGAUGCAUUACACAUAUUGCAAUAGACAUUCAUACAUAUUUUUGGUUGGUGAUUUAGCCUGAAUUUGCUAACAAUGGCAUGGUGUCUACUUUGAUUUUAUUUAGCUAGAAUAAUCAUGUAUUAGUCCAUUCUUGCACUGCUAUUAAAUACCUGAGACUGGGUAGUUUAUAGGAAAAAGAAGAUUAAUUGGCUCAAGGUUCUGCAGGCUGUAUGAGAAGCAUAGUGGCUUCUGAGAAAACCUCAGGAAACUUAGAAUCAUGGUGGUGUAGGAGGACUAGCCACAGACAAAACCACUCAGACACCGGGUUAAAGAAGGAAGUGGCUUUAUUUGGCCGGGAGCGUCAGCAGACUUGCAUGUCAAGAACUGAGCUCUCUGAAGAAAGAGUUCCUGGCCCUUUCAAGGACUUACAACUCUAAGGGGUUCAUGUGAAAGGGUUGUGAUAGAUUGAGAUUCAGAGAUAGCAUAUGUGAUUAGAGCGGGGGGGUUAAUCUUUAACCUCU